AACCAAGACUGGACUAUUUUUGAAGGAAUAUUGGUGGGAGAUAGUUUGUCAAACCGCUCCAGCAGUCAACUUAGAAUUUCGUAAAAUUGGCUCAAAAUGUCAUCGGCAAUUAUUCGUGUUAAACGUCACAUUGACGAUGCGCCUGUGGAAGCUCUUCGCUUGGCUAAACGGCGACGUGUAAGCCUUUGCGACUCCAACAACGACCAGGAUCGAGACCUUUUUCAAAGCGAGGUUAAGUCGGCCGCACGAGGAGUUAUGCUUGCUUUCGUCGGAACUGUAGAAAGGGCUGAUAUCGACUUCGUACACUCCGUGAUUCGGCGGCAUCAGGAAACUGCUACAAUUGAAAAGGAUGCUGCAGUAAGAACGAACGAUGCUAGACAACGAAAGCUCGAAAUCCUACAGGAGCACAAGAAGCUUCUGAAGCGAUUAUCAGCUAUGGAUGAUGAAAUUUUAGAAUCCACAAAGAAGCCUCGGAAUAGAAAAGUUGAAAAAGAUGACGCAUUGGUGCCAAGUGAUUGGAGUGAUGCCGGCGAUAAAAUGAAUGAUAGCAGCCUGAAAAUAUACGAUGCUUUGCAUGAAGAUAUUAUUGUAGCAACAAACGGCGCAAAGCUGGCUGGUUCAUCAAAAAUAUCACGCAAAGCAAGUGCCAAAUUUAGCAGCUCAACUGUCUCUAGCGUGACUUCGUUCGGUGGACAAGGCGACAAUGAUGUCAAAGCUCAAAACUGCGAAAAGCAAGAGGUUGGCGAAGAUUCCAAAGCUUCUUCGGAAGCCCUUGGAGAUACUCAAACCGACUCAGCAAUGGAGAAAAAAUUCGUUUACGAUAUCUACGUGGCUCAAGCAGACAAAAACACAGUAGAAGAUCUUCCAUUGUGUCCACAAUCGUAUGCCAACGAUUAUGUACUUGAGACAUUCGAUGUUGCGAAAGAAACGCUAAUGUUUGAUGACGAGUUUCCUGAAGAUCCAUUUCUCUACAGCGCUGAUGAAGACAGCAAUGACGAAAACCACCCUAAUGCAGAUUAUCCCGACGAAGAGGAUUGGUACGACGAUUUCGGUCAGGAAAACGAAUGGGACUCAAUGGAAGAGCCUGACGAAAGUUUAGAAAAUUAUGAUGAGCUCAGCUAUAUUGAAAGAAGGUUCCAGAGAAUUGAUUUCGAUGAUAAGGCUGCUCAGACGGGAUACGGGAGCGACGACGAUGAAGUCGACAGCGAAGGUUCAUUGUAGGAUAGUGCUAAUGCACUGAGCUGUUCAAUGGCUAUUAAACCGCUUGGGGCAGUAUGUCCGAGUCUUGCCGUGUCACUAUAAAGUAUCCGGAUGCAUGCUUGUUGGAUGGAUCAGAGAAUUUGAGCAUUUUUGCGAAGUAUAUCGCAAACCGCUAAAAUUGAACUAAAGAUGUGUUAAUUUCGCUGAAGAAGAAGCGUAUGAUGACGAUGACACUAAUUAAUAGAUUUGCGCAACACUGUAGCAAUCAAUUGAUGACUGUGACUGUUAGGUUUUCCCACUUAAAAUUCGCAAGAACAUGAAACGAAGUGACUAAGCAGGCGCGAAUUGAUGAUAGCAUACCUGUAAAGAGUAAUAACAGGUACUAAUACUGAUACUGAGACUGUUAGCACAUAGUGGAAGUGCUGCUCUCUUUUCGGCCUUUUGCUUACAAAAGGCAAUAUUUUCUGCAUUCUGCUUAAAAAAUAAACCGCUUCAAACAGAGUAAGGGAUCAAAAGCCAAGCGUCUCAUCUCGUUGUUGACUGCGAAAUGGCGCAGCUAAUGUUGUUUACUGCAGGAACAAAAAGAUUGUAAGUGAUGGGCGAGGCGAAGGAGCUUUAAUAUUAAAAACUUUUAUUUCUUAGCUUUUAGGGUUUAUUGUAUAAAGAGUCGCCGCUACAAGAAAAUAGUUAUCCGGCUUAAAAUGACCCUAAUGCACUGUGUGUAUGGUGAAAAAGAUAGUGUUGAAAUUUCUUGCAUGCCUGCUGUAUCUGCUCAAUAUCAACGUGUACGAUACUUUAACUACUGGUGAAUAACUCGAUACGCUAUAUACACUUAAUCUCGCUUUUACUUUCCAACAGCCUUUCUGCCAUAUGACUCUGAACGCAUCUGAAAGUGUCGAAAUCUGGCUUUAAUUGAGCAAUUAUUUAUUUUUUAUUACACAUAUUCUCAUAAACAAAUCGGGAGUUUGCUUGAAGAAGAGUCCGAGCUAAGGUCGUAAAGUGACGAAAGUAUUGUUUGCGAUGCUAUGCUAAUAUCUUCAAUUUCAGGAAAAUAUUAAUCAUGUACGUAGUUUCAAUACUAAUGCAAAUCGAAUGAACCGAUUCACGAAAAAUACGAAGAGCGGCUACCGUUGAGUCGUUUGCAUCUUAGUAUCAAGAGAUCUCUCUUAAAAUACGAUAUAUUGACGGUGCCGAAUCGCGCACUAGCUCCGGGCGACCAUCCUAGUCCCGUAGUAUGUUAUCAUAUGUAGAAAGAAAGGUAUGUACAAAAGGAAAUGUAAAGCACUAAUAAAUGUAAAGCACCCAUAGCCGACCUGCAUAUGAACAAACGUUGUUAAUCGCACGGUCACGUAAUGUGCAUUGGUGCUAAGUACGUAUGUCUAGUGAAAGUACCAGCGUAAAUAAACCAAGUACAGCUAAAUGGUUG